UCCAGACUCCUACGGGAGGCAGCAGUGGGGAAUAUUGCACAAUGGGGGAAACCCUGAUGCAGCAACGCCGCGUGAGUGAAGAAGUCAUUCGUGAUGUAAAGCUCUAUCAGCAGGGAAGAAAACAGACGGUACCUGACUAAGAAGCCUCGGCUAACUACGUGCCAGCAGCCGCGGUAAUACGUAGGGGGCAAGCGUUAUCCGGAUUUACUGGGUGUAAAGGGGGCGCAGACGGCCAUGGCAGGCCCGGUGUGAAAGGCAGGGGCAUAACCCCUGGACUGCACUGGGAACUGUCAGGCUGGAGUGCCGGAGGGGUAAGCGGAAUUCCUGGUGUAGCGGUGAAAUGCGUAGAUAUCAGGAGGAACACCGGUGGCGAAGGCGGCCUGCUGGACUGCAACUGACGUUGAGGCCCGAAAGCGUGGGGAGCAAACAGGAUUAGAUACCCUUGUA
rnacentral:rRNA from 1 species